rnacentral:lncRNA from 1 species
CGUCAGCGCCAAGUUUCCCCAAUGUCUUUACAGAAACAACAUUUAAUACUUUACUCACUUGCAACUGUCGAUCUCGUAGUGCCUUUAACCUCUCCUUUCUUUUCAAUGCUUGCUCCUGUAAAGAACCGGCAGGCUUCUCCAUGAUGAAAAUAAAGCAUGGACAGUAGGAUCGAUGAAUCUGUACUCGAUAAUGUAUGAUGUCUGUUUAGAGGUUGCUAGUAGAGCACCGAAAACAUCAAUUUUAAAGGUUUUGUGCAGUCUAUGGGGUCAACUGUCUUUCCUGCUGUCAAUGGACCGGUCCGGUGAAAUGACAAAGAAACCUGAUUCUGAUUGGUCCUCACGCAUGCAUCUGAAAUGCUGACUGGCUUACAGAAAGAACCUUAUAAAGCCAAGCGAGAGUUCGACUU